AGCGAACGCUGGCGGCAGGCCUAACACAUGCAAGUCGAACGAACCCUUCGGGGUUAGUGGCGGACGGGUGAGUAACACGUGGGAACGUGCCUUUAGGUUCGGAAUAACUCAGGGAAACUUGUGCUAAUACCGAAUGUGCCCUUCGGGGGAAAGAUUUAUCGCCUUUAGAGCGGCCCGCGUCUGAUUAGCUAGUUGGUGAGGUAAAGGCUCUCCAAGGCGACGAUCAGUAGCGGGACUGAGAGGAUGGUCAGCGACAUUGGGACGGAGACACAGCCCAAACUCCUACGGGAGGCAGCAGUAGGGAAUCGUGCGCAAUGGGCGAAAGCCUGACGCAGCCAUGCCGCGUGAAUGAUGAAGGUCUUAGGAUUGUAAAAUUCUUUCACCGGGGACGAUAAUGACGGUACCCGGAGGAGAAGCCCCGGCUAACUUCGUGCCAGCCGCCGCCGCAGUAA
rnacentral:rRNA from 1 species